ACCAGAUGUGUUUGCAUACACAGCAAUGGUAAAGAUAUUGGUUGCAGAGCGGAACUUGGAUGGUUGUUCAAAGGUUUGGAAGGAGAUGCAGCAGGAUGCAGUUGAACCUGAUGUUAUAGCUUAUUCAACUUUUAUUGCUGGUUUGUGUAAAAAUAAUCAGGUCGACAAAGGCUAUGAGUUGUUCAAGGAAAUGAAACAAAAGAAAAUUUUGAUAGAUAGGGGGAUUUAUGGAUCCUUGAUUGAAUCGUUUGUAGCAAGCGGGAAAGUUGGUUUAGCUUGUGAUUUGCUUAAAGAUCUGAUAGACUCGGGCUAUAGG
rnacentral:misc_RNA from 1 species